rnacentral:rRNA from 1 species
AGAGUUCGAUCCUGGCUCAGGAUGAACGCUGGCGGCGCGCCUAACACAUGCAAGUCGAACGGAGCUGAGAGGAGCUUGCUUUUCUUAGCUUAGUGGCGAACGGGUGAGUAACACGUAGGUAACCUGCCCAUGUGCCCGGGAUAACUUCUGGAAACGGAUGCUAAAACCGGAUAGGUAGCAGACAAGCAUUUGACUGCUAUUAAAGUGGCCUUGGCCAUGAACAUGGAUGGACCUGCGGUGCAUUAGCUGGUUGGUGAGGUAACGGCCCACCAAGGCGACGAUUGGUAGCCGGACUGAGAGGUUGAACGGCCACAUUGGGACUGAGACACGGCCCAGACUCCUACGGGAGGCAGCAGUGGGGAAUAUUGCACAAUGGGGGAAACCCUGAUGCAGCGACGCCGCGUGGAGGAAGAAGGUCUUCGGAUUGUAAACUCCUGUUGUUGAGGAAGAUAAUGACGGUACUCAACAAGGAAGUGACGGCUAACUACGUGCCAGCAGCCGCGGUAAAACGUAGGUCACAAGCGUUGUCCGGAAUUACUGGGUGUAAAGGGAGCGCAGGCGGGAAGACAAGUUGGAAGUGAAAUCCAUGGGCUCAACCCAUGAACUGCUUUCAAAACUGUUUUUCUUGAGUAGUGCAGAGGUAGGCGGAAUUCCCGGUGUAGCGGUGGAAUGCGUAGAUAUCGGGAGGAACACCAGUGGCGAAGGCGGCCUACUGGGCACCAACUGACGCUGAGGCUCGAAAGUGUGGGUAGCAAACAGGAUUAGAUACCCUGGUAGUCCACACCGUAAACGAUGAUUACUAGGUGUUGGAGGAUUGACCCCUUCAGUGCCGCAGUUAACACAAUAAGUAAUCCACCUGGGGAGUACGACCGCAAGGUUGAAACUCAAAGGAAUUGACGGGGGCCCGCACAAGCAGUGGAGUAUGUGGUUUAAUUCGACGCAACGCGAAGAACCUUACCAAGUCUUGACAUCCCUUGACGAUGCUGGAAACAGU